UGUCACCGAAAUACUGUUUUGUGCUUUCAUGCAGAUAUAAUUCAAAUAAAAAUCCAGAUAAACUUUUUUUAACGUGCCGAGAAAUGUAUCUACAAGAACAAAUUGGUGUAUUUCAGUUGGACGCAAUGUAAAAAGUAUGGAUAUUAACUCAAGGGCCUAUUGCUGCGAAGAUCAUUUCAAUAUCGAUGAAGACCUCGAGGAUAAUCCAGAUCCAUCAUCGAAAUCCAAACUCAAAAAUGGUGUCAUUCCGUGCUUAAAACGUCUGGACAAUCUUUCACCCAACAUUGUUUCAUUCACGUCGUUCGUUUCAAAAAGCAAUGGAUCGAUUCAUUCUAAAAGUCCGGAAGGUGUGAUUUUUGCAUUUUCCAGCCUUGAGUUUCCAAUCUUGUGUUCACUGAGUUUGCUAUGAAAUCCAUAAACAUUUCAAAAUCUACUUCUGGUAAAUUGUUGCACGUUGCUCAUUUUUAAAAACGAUUACACAACCGGCAUUAAGUAAUUUUAUUGCUUGCCCCAAGCGAAAAUUGAUUCUUACAUAUCAAUUUGGCCCCUGCGAAAAUGGUCGAUUACAUGAGGGAUAUUUGUGUGACACUAUCGUCAAGGAAUCUCUGUUUUCGCGGGGUGCACAGUCAUUCACGUAAAACGAGUUUUCGCGGGGUGCAGCCAGAUGAAGGAGAAUGCAUCAUCUGAAAUAUUUAAUGCCUUCCAACAGAAAAAAA